GCCGGGGUAGCUCAGUGGUAGAGCGAAGGACUGAAAAUCCUUGCGUCGCCAGUUCAAUCCUGGCCCUCGGCACCA
rnacentral:tRNA from 7 species